AAGUCGUAACAAGGUCUCCGUUGGUGAACCAGCGGAGGGAUCAUUACAGAGUUGCAAAACUCCCAACCCUUUGUGAACGAACCUACCAGUUGCCUCGGCGGCGAGCCCCCUGGGCGAACCGCCGGAGGAAUACAAACUCUUUGCAUUAUAGUAUCUCUGAUUACUUAUUCAAUAAGUUAAAACUUUCAACAACGGAUCUCUUGGUUCUG
rnacentral:misc_RNA from 1 species